rnacentral:rRNA from 1 species
UACGAAGGGGGCGAGCGUUGUUCGGAAUCACUGGGCGUAAAGGGCGCGUAGGCGGCCCUCCUAGUCGCGUGUGAAAGCCCCGGGCUCAACCUGGGAACGGCGCGCGAAACGGGGGGGCUGGAGUUCGGGAGAGGAGAGUGGAAUUCCCAGUGUAGAGGUGAAAUUCGUAGAUAUUAGGAAGAACACCAGUGGCGAAGGCGACUAACUGGACAUGUAUUGACGCUGAGACGCGAAAGCGUGGGGAGCGAACAGG